rnacentral:misc_RNA from 1 species
GGCUCUCCUCCUCUCCCUUCAACCCCCACUCCAUUUCUCUCCCCGGGAACGCUUCCACCGUCACUAAGGAAGAUGGCUUCACAUAUUGUUGGAUAUCCUCGCAUGGGCCCAAAGAGAGAGCUCAAGUUUGCUUUGGAAUCAUUUUGGGAUGGCAAGAGCAGUGCCGAAGAUCUGCAGAAGGUGUCAGCAGACCUCAGGGCUUCCAUCUGGAAGCAAAUGUCUGAUGCUGGGAUUAAGUACAUCCCUAGCAACACCUUUUCGCACUAUGAUCAAGUGCUUGAUACCACUGCUAUGGUGGGCGCUGUCCCUGAUAGGUAUGGAUGGGCUGGUGGAGAGAUUGGGUUUGACACAUACUUCUCAAUGGCUAGAGGAAAUGCCACUCUUCCCGCUAUGGAGAUGACCAAGUGGUUCGACACCAACUACCACUUCAUCGUUCCUGAAUUGGGCCCUAACACAAAGUUUUCGUACGGUUCUCACAAGGCAGUAUCUGAGUACAAGGAGGCUAAGGCGCUUGGAAUUGAUACCGUUCCAGUGCUUGUCGGACCUGUUUCGUACCUGUUGCUCUCAAAACCCGCCAAAGGAGUGGAAAAGACCUUUUCUCUGCUCUCACUUUUGGGAGACCUUCUGCCCAUUUACAAGGAAGUUGUCGCCGAGUUGAAGGCAGCUGGUGCUUCAUUCAUUCAGUUUGAUGAGCCCACUCUGGUGCUAGACCUCGAGCCUCAACAGUUAGAAGCCUUCACAAAGGCAUAUUCAGAACUCGAAUCAUCAUUCUCUGGUUUGAAUGUGUUUCUAGAAACCUACUUCGCCGAUAUUCCUGCCGAGACAUACAAGACCAUCACCUCUUUGAAUGGCAUCUCUGGUUUCGGAUUUGAUCUUGUCCGUGGCACCAAGACACUUGAACUCAUCAAAAGUGCAGGCUUCCCGGCUGGCAAGUAUCUCUUUGCUGGAGUUGUCGAUGGGAGGAAUAUUUGGGCUGAUGAUCUUGCUGCCUCUCUCAGUACCCUCGAGUCUCUCGAGGCUAUUGUUGGAAAAGACAAACUUGUGGUCUCUACUUCUUGCUCUCUCCAACACACUGCUGUUGAUCUUGUGAACGAGACAAAGUUGGACAGUGAAAUCAAGUCGUGGUUGGCUUUUGCUGCACAGAAGGUUGUGGAAGUCAAUGCCUUGGCGAAGGCCUUGGCUGGCGAAAAGGAUGAGGCAUUCUUCGCUGCAAAUGCUGCUGCUCUGGCCUCAAGGAAGUCUUCUCCUAGGGUGAACAAUGAAGAAGUGCAGAAAGAUGCUGCUGCUUUGAAGGGAUCAGACCACCGCCGUGCUACCAACGUGAGUGCUAGAUUGGAUGCUCAACAGAAGAAACUGAACCUUCCAAUUCUUCCAACUACCACCAUCGGUUCAUUCCCUCAGACCGUCGAACUCCGAAGAGUCCGAAGGGAGUACAAAGCCAACAAGAUCACCGAGGAGGAGUAUGUGAGUGCCAUCAAGGAGGAAAUCAACAAAGUUGUCAAGCUUCAGGAAGAACUUGACAUUGAUGUUCUCGUCCAUGGAGAACCCGAGAGAAAUGAUAUGGUUGAGUACUUCGGUGAGCAAUUGUCCGGUUUUGCCUUCACGGUUAAUGGGUGGGUGCAAUCUUACGGGUCACGGUGUGUCAAGCCCCCGAUCAUCUAUGGUGAUGUGAGUCGUCCCAAGGCCAUGACCGUCUUCUGGUCCUCCAUGGCCCAGAGCAUGACCUCACGCCCGAUGAAGGGAAUGUUGACCGGUCCGGUCACAAUCCUCAAUUGGUCUUUUGUCAGGAAUGACCAACCGAGGUUCGAGACAUGCUAUCAAAUUGCCCUUGCCAUCAAGAAAGAGGUUGAAGAUCUUGAAGCUGCUGGUAUUCAGGUUAUCCAAAUUGAUGAAGCGGCUCUCAGGGAAGGACUGCCACUUCGCAAAUCUGAGCAUUCUUUCUACUUGGACUGGUCUGUCCACUCAUUCAGAAUCACCAACUGUGGCGUGAAGGACACCACCCAGAUCCAUACCCAUAUGUGUUACAGCAACUUCAAUGACAUCAUCCAUUCGAUCAUUGACAUGGAUGCUGAUGUGAUC